CUCCUGGUACAUAAAUGCCUCUCCACACCCAGGGUGAGGAGGGACUUGGUUCAAAUGACUUGGAAUUUUGAAGGCUCCCUGAGUGUAUUCAGCUGUCUGUUGAAGUCCUCCACACUUGCUGGUGCAUGGUGGAUGCUUUCUCCUGGAACCUUUCCAUUUGCUGCUGCUUCUGCAUUUUCUCCUAGGCCUCCCGGGUCCGGGUCCACUUGUCUAGGCUGUGUCGCUUCUCCUCCUUGUUUUUGCUCAUCCCCACCAUCUCAGAUAGUUUCACCACAUCUUUGUCCUUCUUUUCUCUUCUGCUUGGUCACACUGAGCUCUGCAAUGUUUUUCAAUUUCAGGGAUACCUUUGGAUCUGCUUGUGGGCUACCAUGGAACUUCCUGCAGUUCGGAAUUUGAAGUGUGCUUGGUAGAGGAGUUCUGCUCAGAAAGAAUAUCUCAUAUAGCUGUAAUCAGUCGUGGCCUUGGGCAGCAGUUCACUGAAGUUUCCAAUUGGCUGGAUGUUCAAGAUCGCCCAUUCAAUCCUGGCAUUUGAGGCUGGCUGGCUGCGGUGUCUACAAGAAAAGUAAUUAAAUGCCCAACAGAGUAACGAGAAAAGUAAAACGAUGAACUAUUAAUGAAAUCAACAAGGAACAGAGAAACAGUCCACAACCAGCCUAGAAGCAAGGAGAGGGAAGAGUUACAUUUACCGCUAUUUGAAGUGAGAGCUGUGACUCCAGCAAUGGGAGACACCUUAUAGAAACUUUCAUCUUCAAGAAAGAAAUGGAACCACUGACAUCCCUGAGUCCAGCAAGCAAGAGGUCAAGGGAACAAAGACACCAUUCUCCUUCUCCUUUCCCCGACAACCUCCAGCUUGUAUUUCUCAUUGGCUGACCCCAAAGUAAAGACAGGACAAACAUCCUUUUGUUUUCAAAAUGGCCAGCAGCCCAGGAGAUGAAGCAAAGUGAAGAAGACAGGUGAGCUGAAGGGACAGGUGAAUCUCCAGGACCAUGACAGUUUGUUGUAGUUCCAGUCUUCCUGCCAUGACACAGAGGCCUGAAUGUACAUUGGCAACAGCAAGACAGAAAUGUUUCUCUCCUGUGUAAGUCUCCAAGGUGGAUAGUCCAGCACUGGUAAGUUUCCUCUGUUCCUCUAAACAUAAAGCUUCCCCCUCUGCAUCCAAAGAUGCUGCCAACACUCUUUAUCCUAGGCAGCGGAAAUGAGAAAAGCAUGCACACUGCUUUGAAUAGCUUGUCGUGAAGGGGACACGUGUCACUUCUCAUGGGCCAUUGUCCGAAACAAGGUCAUCCAUUGCACAAAGGGCCCAGCUAAGCCUUGGUGAUUUUCAUCAUGAAGGCGGAGAGAACGGAUGCUGGUGCGAUACCAUCAAAGGUGCUCCAGGCAGAAGAAAGAGCAUGUAUGAAAGCACUAGGACGUAAAGAAGCUUGUUUGGAAACAUUUAUGCCUGAAGAGAAUGAUGAUUACCAGUGUUCGUAAAUACGCAUACACAUAAACUUUUCCUGAAGUUUACACGUUAUGUCAUAUAUUGUGCACAAUAUUUCUCUUAAAGUGCCUUGUCUUGGACAGUCAACUUGCUACAUGGGCCAAUAAAAUGUGUAUGCUAAACAUACAGAUUGAGUUUAUUGCUGCAAUAAAAUAAAACUCAUGGCAAAUUUAAUAGGAUAUAUUUCUAAUGACAUGCAUAAUUGUCUUUUUGCUACAUGCUAAUUAUGUAGAUAUAAACGAAAUGCCAUUUCCAAAUAAUACUAACUGUAGUCACUUAAAUGGAAAACCAAAUCACGUAUUUAAUUCUCUGAGCUUCCUAAUAGACAUUUUCACUUGGAGUGUUUAAUUCUCUCUCCUAUGCAUCCUUGUGAGGCAAAGUGAACAAACACCAUUACCUGACGUUACCAUCUUCUGGGGCAGUUGUAUUUAACACUUUACUCUGAGACUCUCUGUGUUUAUUUUCUAUUAGCGACUGUCUCCUGUACAUAUCAUAUCUCUAAGGUAUUAUCACAUUGUCCUGCCCUUUUAUAAGGGCCAAGAGUGAAGUUAUGGUAGAGCAACGAUGCACAUUUAGAAAGAGGCAAUACAUUGUGAGGAGGUCAGUUCUCAUUUCCUACUUUUACAUUUCACCCCUUCUUUGACUCUAAGUUCUAACAGCUCAAAUUCAAUUAUCCUUCUCAGGCCUAUCCUAAGGAACAUAAUAAAUACAGGAUAUCUUCUCAAAUCUAUCUGCAGUAAUUGUGCUGGGUUUUAUAUGUCAAAUGACAGACUAAGUCAUUCCCUACUCAGAUAUAAAAUUCAUAAUAUGCAAUUUUUAUAAAAAUUAAUAAAUGUUGAAAUAGAAGGAAAUGUACCAUGUAAUUCACAAAAUUUGAAACCUUUUUGAAAGAGGAGGGCAUUAGAAAAAAUCACUGAAACUUGGAGGGUGAGAGUCUUUUUUUGGGAGUAAAAGGAAC